rnacentral:lncRNA from 10 species
AGCAAUACAAAAGAUAAAUAUUUAUUCAGAACAAAACUUUUAACAAUCAAUUUUACAUUCUAAGCCACAAGGAAAUAGCAAAACAUAUAGCAAAGGAAAAGCAAACACUAAAAGAAAAGCAGUGUACUGUCUUUUCUACUGGAUAACACUUAGUUGGCCCAUGACCUCUCGCUUGGCCUAUCUCCCAAGUACAUUUUAGAGUUAACAGCUCACUCAUAAUUUUGGGUUAAAAUCCAUCUUUCUCCUGAGAAUCAGGAGUUGCACAUGAGCUCCAGCUAGCUGCUUCUCUAGGGUUCGUAGCUAUUGAGGCUAAGGUGCAAAUGUAAACCUUUGGUAGGUUUCUUUACACAGGGGCACCCCCAUUUCUCACUGGUGGCAAUGAAUGGGGAAGGGGUAGGGCCUCCAAAGGACCUGGCACACUGUAAUCCAGAAGUGGUGCCCCAGGGAGCAACGAAUGCACCCUGGAGUGUGGUCCUUGGUCCGUUCCGUAUCUCCCAAGUAUUCAGAAGCCCCUCCUUAAAAACCUUCUCUUUCUGCUCCCUCCUCCAGGUGAUUUCUCAGCAUUCCUCUGGGCUGAUCAUUCUGGAGAGAUCAGACUUUCUGGGCCCUCAAGUGUUGAGGAAAUUGUUGUGAAGUGUGAGAGGUAGUGGAAUGAGCACCGGGCUUGGGGUCAGGGGACUCUACUAUAGGCUGGCUCUGGCACCAGACAGCUAUGUGAUUUUCACCCAGUCAUUUAACCUCUUUGGGCCUGUUUCAUCUGCUGGAAAACCAGGGAAUUGGUCCAAACCAACUCUCAGGUUCUUUCCAGCAGGAAUAUUCUAGAUUCCAUGAUUCUAUAAAAAAUGGCUUCUGAGCCACCAAAAGAGCUGUCAUGAAGUCCAUGCAUCUUUGUGCCAUAAGAGAGGCCCUUGGCCACCAUUCAGAGCUUAUUGAUUCAGAUUAUAUACACUUCUAACAACACUGGUUUCACAAAUUCUCAGACCACGUAGAUUAAAAGCAGCAAAUUAAAUGAGGGAGGGGAAGAGCUGCAAAAGGUAGACACUCUGAUAGAAGCCACAGUCAACAAUGUUUUCAAUUCAGCAAACACUGAUGGAGUGCCUACCACGUGUUGGGCCCCGUACCUAGUGCUGGGGCAUAAAGAUGAGCAAGGCAGCCCAAAGGGUGAAAAUCCAGGGGAAGAAAAGGUAUGGGGCGGGGAGGGCGGGAGGGGGGCAAGGAGAGAGAGAAAAAGUACAAGAAACAAAACAAAUACCCAAUAGAAAAACGAAAAUAAAAUUUUAAAAGGGAGGGGCAACACAUCUGCACGCUACAGUUCUCCGCAGUCGUUAUUGGUGACAGAGUCACCAAUUCAGAACAGGCUGAAAUGGAGUAAACUCGGUUUAAGAAGGCAUAGAGAGAUGUCUCUUGUAGGUUUUAAAAAGAUCUCCUUCAAAAACGAUAAAAAAUGGUUUAAAAAAAAGUUUUGGCACUUAAGAGGGAUAAGCUGGCUGUGUGUUCACCCUGGCAGGCAGGCGGGUGUUUAGUGCCCGGCCACGCCGGUUAGCUGAGCUGCCACGGAAUUGUGCACUGCUUUGGGACACUGGGCAAAGGCGUGUCCUCGCUUGCCACAGAGGUUGCACACGAUGCCCUUCCGGCAGUAAGGGCUCAGGUGCCCCUCCUCCCCGCACCUGAAGCACCUGUCCUGCGUGCAGCUGCCGCUCAUGUGGGUCCGGGAACCACAUUUAAAGCAUGUCUUGGGCUGCCCCUUGUACCAGCUGUAGCCCCUCUCGGCCCCCAGGAAGAAGGCCCCUGGCAAGUGCCUGACCCCGCCCUCCCCCUGGCGCAGCUCGAUCUCGCAUUUGUACUCCCCGGUCCAGAUCCCAAACCUGUCGGUCACUUUCACCGGCACGGCCAGCACGUCGCAGUGGCGCUUGAGCCAAGUCACAAUGUCCUCCACGUCCACCGUCUCGUUCCGGAAGAGGAUGAAGAGCGUCUUCAAGCUGGACUUGCUCCGCCCCAGCACCACAAAGUUCUCCCAGCAGUCCUCCUGCUCCCGCUUCUCCUCGUAGACGCGUAGGAACAGGGCCAGCUUCUCCGCUGAGCGGAAGCUCACGUCGGCUAGAUUCUUCACCACCUGGGCCCAGCCCAUCUUCUCGCGGCCGCCGUCGGCCUCCUCGCCCCGGGCCGCGGGCCGCGCGGGGGGCAGAAGCUGCGGCCGCCCCCGUUUCCUCUCUUCCUCCGCGCCGCCGCCGGUGGCCAUUUUACCUCCUUCCC